AGCUCAUCACUUCAGCUAAAAAGAUGCAACGAUCAAAACUUUGUGUCAAACCCUGCUCAUCAGUUCAGCUAAAAUUCGGUCCUCUGCAUUGAACACACUAUCAAAAUAGAACUGCGGAGAGAGCAAACCGUUCCGCGAGGGGAAAAUCCAGCAAAAAGAGACAUUCACUUCAACCCAGAUCGCUUUGUACCGCCAUUUUGCACAAAGAAGAAUCAAAACAAAACCGUGGAGAAAAGGGGAAGAAAU
rnacentral:lncRNA from 1 species